UUUUAUGCAGGCGUGCCAGUCCUCGAACCUGACUCGUGCAGCCAACCAGGAACGAGUUCUGUCGACACAGCCAGCUGCAGUGCAGGUGUGGCAGUCCUCGAAACUCACUCAUACAGUCAACCAGGAACGAGUUCUGUCGACACAGCCAGCUGCAGUGCAGGAGUGCAGACCGAUCUCACUUUUGGGCGAAUUGAAGCAAUCGAAUCUACUAGCCUUGUGCAGACGGCC